AUUGAACGCUGGCGGCGUGCUUAACACAUGCAAGUCGAUCGGGUAACAGGGUGUAGCAAUACAUGCUGACGAGAGGCGGACGGGUGAGUAAUGCUUGGGAAUCUGCCUAUUAGUGGGGGACAACCCGGGGAAACUCGGGCUAAUACCGCAUACGCUCUACGGAGGAAAGCCGGGGACCGCAAGGCCUGGCGCUAAUAGAUGAGCCCAAGUCGGAUUAGCUAGUUGGUAGGGUAACGGCCUACCAAGGCGACAA
rnacentral:rRNA from 1 species